rnacentral:rRNA from 1 species
UGAGGAAUAUUGGUCAAUGGGGCGAGAGCCUGAACCAGCCAAGUCGCGUGAGGGAAGACGGUCCUACGGAUUGUAAACCUCUUUUGUCGGGGAGCAAUAAAGCGUACGCGUACGCAGAUGCGAGUACCCGAAGAAAAAGCAUCGGCUAACUCCGUGCC